AGCAGCCGCGGUAAUUCCAGCUCCAAUAGCGUAUAUUAAAGUUGUUGCAGUUAAAAAGCUCGUAGUUGAAUUUCGGGGUCAAUAAGUUGGUCGUGCCAAUGGUAUGCACUGGCUUUAUUGAUUCCUACCUCUUGACGAACUGUGAUGCCAUUAAUUUGGUGUUGCAGGAAAUCAGGACUGUUACCUUGAAAAAUUAGAGUGUUUAAAGCAGGCUUACGCUUGAAUACAUUAGCAUGGAAUAAUGAAAUAGGACGUUUGAACCUAUUUUGUUGGUUUCUAGGAUCGACGUAAUGAUUAAUAGGGAUAGUUGGGGGCAUUAGUAUUCAAUUGUCAGAGGUGAAAUUCUUGGAUUUAUUGAAGACUAACUACUGCGAAAGCAUUUGCCAAGGAUGUUUUCAUUAAUCAAGAACGAAAGUUAAGGG
rnacentral:rRNA from 1 species